CCCACCUUCUCUCAAAUUUUUUCGUUUUACCCUUUUAAUUUUUAAUAUUCCUAAGUUGCCCUUUUAAAAUAGAAAAGCUAUUUCAUUUUUUCCCUUUAACAGGGCAUGAAGAAUAGAGGAAUAGAAAGUGAGAGAGAAUGGUGAGGUAGCUACCGGAGAGUUCUUUCAGCUCUGCCACAUUCUUCUGGAUCUUGGCCUUGGACUCACUGCCUUAGCAUUCUUCUCGGUCGGCGAGCAGAUCUACAACAAAACCCUUGGUCCUUCCUCCUUCUCUUCUUCUGGGUCUGCUUUUAUUUUGUUUUUAUCAGCUGUUGGGGAAUAAUUAGAUGGGGGUUUGGGAUUUUGGCAUCGGGGGGAUGGGUCAAGGAGAUAGGGCGAGUUAACCAAGUGCGAAGGAGUGGAUGCUUUGAGAUGCAGAGUUUCUUUGUUCAUUUUAUUAUAAGCACCUCAAAACCGAAUAGACCACAACUGGAUGGACAGACAACCGUGGAAGUCGAUAACAUCAUAGAUAUUAAUAGCAUCAUAAAACAUCAUUUUAAGACCCACCCUUCAGGUAUUGCAAUAUUGGAAGAAGAAAAUGGUAAUUGUUAAUUUUCAUUUGAUUCAUUAUAGGUUUUUAUGGUCUUUAAAAGUUAUCUGAAAAAUGUGAAAGAUAUGUUAUAUUUUUGGAGAUAUAAUUUAUAGUCCCAAUGCCUUAUAUCAAGAUGGAGACGUUGAAUGAAAAAUGAAUGAGGUUUAAGAACAAAGGGCUGUUUAAUAGGAAAUAUCAUUUUUAUUUUGUGAUCUUCGUGGAAAAAGUAAAACAUAGUUUUGGGAAUUAUUUUAGAGUAUCAGUUUUAUUUUAUGACCUUUGUGGAAAAAGUAAAACAUAAUAUUGGGAAUUUUUUAGAGGGGAAGCAAUUGUUCUUAUAUGAUCAUAAUGAGAUUGUUGAAUCUGGUCAUAAUUUUUCUAUUAGCUUUUUAAGAUCUUCAAAAUUAAAACAAAUUUAGAUUUGAAUAAGAUUCUAAAUUUAGUUUCAAUGAUUAUUUGUUUGUACGAGAAUAUUGACUAUGAUGUAUAUAUAUAUAUAUUGAAGAAGAUAUAGUUUUGAGGCAGACUAUUAUGAUUAGCAAGAUUUUCACAUAUAUGUACUUUCAACAGUUUUCAAUCUUAGUUUGACUAUCUUUCAUUUCCUCUCUACCUUAAAUCUUGCUUCUUCAAAUCUGUCUAUGAAACAAUUCCAACAUCUAAGGCCAAUGGCUUUCUGAAUCCAUUGCCUCAACUCCAAACAUUCAUCAAGGUACUUGAUUGUAAACUAUAUAUAUAUUUUUUAAUAUGAAUUAUGAAUUCUUAGGUAAUUUCAAUAUGUUUUAUGAUCAACUAGAGAUUAACCACUACUUUUUUUUAUCUAGUUGGAGAUGUUGAUUGAACAUAAGGGAUGUUGGGUUGUUGAAAUGUACCAUUGGAAACAAUGGAAGAAUGACUUUUAAUUUUUAUGUGAAAUUUCUAUUUUAUGCGUUGGUAUUUUUGGAAAAAUAAAUGGACUUUUUAACAGUUGAAAGCAAAUGGUUCUAUCAUUUAUGGAUAGGAUUACCUAAAGGCGAUAUAUAAAUCUAUUCUUUGAUCUUCUAUUUUAAUUAGUGAAAAAGUAAAUUUACGCCCCUAUUUUUUAUUUCUUUCAUGCACAAACUAUUAUAUAUAUAUAUAUAUAUAUUACACGCAUCUGUAACAAUGGGUUAUAAUGUUUUUUUCAAAGCAUAACUCAUGGGCUUGGUUUAUCUUAGGAUUGCAUUUUUCAUCUUGCCAAGACAUAAUAAGUUAUUGUGGAGAUUGGUGGCUCAAAAAAGGAGGUAUAAUAUUAAACCAAAAGUAUAUUUAAAUGAACUUUACACAACUUUAUUAUCAAUGAAAGAUAUAAAUAUUUGGAAUAUAUUUCUAUUUCAUUUACCUUUACAGAGUUUUUAGUCAUGAUUCAUUCAAGAAAAAAAGGUAUAUAUUAAAUCAUAAUUUUAGUUCUUAGGUUGCUGUAAAUACAUAUCGAUGGCAGAAUGUGAUGAUCACAUAUUAGAAAAUUUUACGGUCUAUUCCAUUUUUCUAUAUUAAGCCCCCCCAAACUAUCCCACUUGUAAAUUUUGAUGAUCCAAUUGGAAAUUUCUCCAAUAAUCAUCAAGAAGAUUAUAUAUUUUGGGGUUAAUAUUCUUUGCCUUGUGAUAUUGGAUAAGAGUCAGAUAUUUUGGAGUUAAUAUUCUUUGCCUUGUGAUAUUGGAUAAGAGUCAGACAUUAUAUUUCAUUUGUUGCUCAAAUUAAUAUUCAUAUGUUUUCUACAUUGAAAAACAUUUAAUUUUUGUGGUUAGGUUGAGAUACUAGUUUUGUACAUUUGAAAUUUGACUCCUAACAAAUUCUGCAUAAUGGUUGCACCUUAGUUGAAGAGUUUUGAAGAUCUUCUAUCAACUACAGUAAACUCUGUGAGUUGAUUAUUUGAAUUCUACAUAGAGCAGGUAAUUCACAAUAAGAAUUCUGAUAGUAGUUAUAUUUCUUGGUGGUAAUCUACCUAAAACAAAUUUGCUGUGAAAGGAAGGUGUAUUUGCUAUAUGAUAAUAAUAAGUCCGAUAUACAGCUGCAUUAAUGUUGCUAUGGCUGUAAGACAAAAUUUUGACAACUAAAUAACAUGAAGAGUGCAAAUCUCAUUUUCUCAAAAAAAUUUAUUAUUAUCUGAAAAAUUAUAAUGCAUUGAAUUGGUUUUCAAUUAUUCUUCUCCAAUAAUGUUAAAUGCAUAUGAAUCAUUAUAGAAAUUUUAUUGUUUAGUUUCAAUUCAAAGCUGUGUUAUAUUCUGAGCUCUAUGAAUGUCCUUAAAAUUUGGCCUCAUAAGUUUUACUUUUGACAUCCCAAAACUCAGGAGGUUAAGAAGGAACUCACAGACUGGGACAUUCAGGAUGGUUUUGACAUUACUCUUACAAAACAUAAAGGGCAGGUGUAUUUUCUUUGUCCUUGAUGUUAUAUUUAUAUAAUGAAUAUUGUGUUCUAUUAUUUAUUGAGAGUUUGUUAUAUUUUAUUAGUUCAAAUCAUGUAAAAUUUCUUUCCUUUUUUUUUUUUUUCCUUUUUUUAAGUAAGUUGUACCAUGAAAGUCCAAAGCUUAUAUGCGUACUAUAUACAGCUCCAACAUAUGGUCCAUGUAGGACUUUGAAGCCAAUUCUUAGUAAGGUAUGCAAAUAAAAAAAUGUUUCACUUUUGCAUGACAUUCAAUCUCAAUGCCACUAUCAACUCUUACAAUGAUUGAUGUCUAAUGUGAUUUGGAGGUGGCCAGAAAUAUUUGGGAUGACAUGAUGAAAAACCAAUUUUAUGUGGUAACAUCUCAUUGUGUGAAGAAACACAUGCUUUACUAUAUCUGUCUAUUUUAGUGUUGAUGCCUCAUAUAGAAUGCAGUAACUUCUUUUUAAUAACUUUCUUUUAUGGCAAUGAUUGAAGAGUUUGAUCAAAAUGUACACUUUGUUGAAACUGAUAUUGAGGAAAAUCCGGAAAUAGCAGAAGUAGCUGGUAUUAUGGGUACACCAUGUGUUCAAUUUUUCAAAAACAAGAAAAAUUUGAGGUUAUUUUUCUUCUAUACUCCUGGUGCUGGUCCAACUGUCAAAUCUGGUUCAAAAGGAAAGUGCCAUCGUUUGAUACUGACUAAAACCCUUGGGUGGACCUUAAAUUGGUGCAUACUACAGAGCAUGUUUGAUAGAACCCAGUGGAGUUGGAAGGUUUGAAAAAAGCAAACAUUCGAGAUGGCAUUGUAGUGGUGCAAUAUCUUGUCUGGUUGGAUAAGCACGUAGUUCGUGAAACUUGUGCAUCUGUUUAUUUCUUGGACAAGUAGUCAAUAUACCAUUUGGAGGAAAAGCUUUUUAUGAAAACAAUAAAACUAAAAAAUAAAUAAAUAAAUAAAAAGAUGUCUAAGCUUUUAGUGCAUAUAUAGAUGCAGGAGAUAUAUGGGGUUUCUGGUUACUUCUUGGAGGGAGACGAAGUGACUAAGAAAAAACGAUUGUAAGUUCAUUUUUUGUUUUUUGUUUUUUUGUUUUUUUAGGUUGUUAUGCAACAUCUAACAUUUGAUUGAAAUACUAGUUGAGAUGUAUUGUGGCCUAAAUAUUGCCUGAAAGAGGAAUGUAAAAGGACAUAAA